rnacentral:misc_RNA from 1 species
UUUCCGUAGGUGAACCUGCGGAAGGAUCAUUGUCGAUACCUGCCUAGCAGAGCGACCCGAGAACUCGUUUAAAAACCGAAGGGCCGUUCCGGAGAGGGCUCGGCGGCCCGGCCUCGGCCGGUGCCCGACGUCCCUCGACGGCGCGAGCCAACAACAAUCCCCGGCGCGAGCUGCGCCAAGGAAACCGCAAAAGAGGGUGGGGCUCCGGGGCCUCCGGAGACGGAGCGCGCCUCGGGAGAUCCCAUCCUCCUUGUAACAGUCGAAAUAAAAACGACUCUCGACAACGGAUAUCUCGGCUCUC